rnacentral:lncRNA from 13 species
UGGAUCUCCCAGAAGCUGGAAGAAUGGCUGAACAAGACAGAUGUGAUCUGCUCACCCUGCCUCUAGGACUGCAUCUUGUUCUCAGCUGUCUUGUUUUGCUAAACAAAGGACAUAUCUAAAAAAUGCAUCAGCCUCAAGCUGAUCACACCACACGUGGUGAUGAGUAUGCUGGCAGAUGUGACCGUGGAGACCAAUGUUCUGGGCACCCUGGAGUCCCACAGGAGCAGAGGAAAAGGACCAAGCAUGAGAGAACAGGCUGUCUCUUGGGCUUUGGACUGUCUCAUGUCACAGGCUGCCCUAUGCCUGCAAUGAGCUGCGCACACCAGAAGAUGCUUAAAUAUCCACAUAUCUCAUACUGCAGGGAGUUUUCAGCUUGUGGGCGUUUUUAGAAGGCGAGAAUGGGAGGAGUGAAAUGAUCUACGUCCCCGUUGUCUGUAGGAGAAGGAGAUGUAUUCUGUGCAACUUCUAAACAGCCAUACACCAGGAGGAAGAAUUUACUCGGGAGCUGUUCCCAUGUGGUAGCUGUUAUUAAUGGAUUGAUUUUUCAGACAAUAGUACGGCUUCUUGCAGAAACCCAAACUCCAAGAACUUACUGUUUCAGCCAAAAGAAAUCUGUAAAAAAAUGUUUUCUUAAAAAAAAAAUUGUUUAUUUCUUAAAUGUGGAAAAUAGAUUUUUUUUUUUUUUCCUUCAAAGUAAAGCCCAAAAAACACCCUUUGGCUCAACUGUCAAAUCUCUGAAGACUGAAAGUUCAGGAAACCUUCCUUUGGACCCAGCUCCCUUCACUGCUGUCUGCCUUUAAGGGAAGCCACCUCAGGCACAAGGACUUUGUGUAUGGAGGCUAAUGAAGUACAGGAAGCCCUGCUCCCCUGGAGUCUUCAGGGACACAAUACUGUCUUCCCCUGGCAGUCAUACAUCAUGGGACAGCUUCCCAGAAAUCACAAGCAGAUUAAACAUUACAGGAUCUUUUCCCUUGCAAUGGCACAGGUGAAAGUCAGCAGGUCAAUCUACCAGCAAAGAGGAGGGGAAAGAAGAAGAAUAUGUCUGAGCUGCUUUGAAACAAUGCCGUUAGGCUCAAGUUUUCUGUGCAAAGACCACAGCAAAGCACAACCACUGCAAAAGACCAGGGCAGGGAUGGGCCCAGGAGGAUCCACUCUGCUUUAA